GGGGUGAGAGUGGCGAACGGGUGAGUAAUGCGUGACUAACCUGCCUCAUGGUCUGGAAUAGCUCCUGGAAACGGGUGGUAAUGCCGGAUGGUCCAACUUUCCGCAUGGUUUGUUGGGAAAGCUUUUGCGCCAUGGGAUGGGGUCGCGUCCUAUCAGCUUGUUGGUGGGGUGUUGGCCUACCAAGGCUUCGACGGGUAGCCGGCCUAAGAGGGCGACCGGCCACAUUGGGACUGAGAUACGGCCCAGACUCC
rnacentral:rRNA from 1 species